UGAAACAUUUCCCACAAACUUCACACUCAUGAUUUCUUUCACCAGUGUGUGUAAGGGUGUGUUUCUUGAGGUUACUCUUCUGACUGAAACAUUUCCCACAAACUUCACACUCAUGAUUUCUUGCACCAGUGUGUGUAAGGGUGUGUGUGUUGAGGUGACCCUUCUGAUUGAAACAUUUCCCACAAACUUCACACUCAUGGUUUCUUGCACCAGUGUGUGUAAGGGUGUGAUGUUUGGGGUUACUCCUAUUACUAAACCUUUUGCCACACUCCCGACUUUCAUGAGGUCUUACACCAGAGUGUGUGGGUGUAUUUGUUGAGGUCAUCCUUCCCUGCAUGUCUUUUCUCACACUCUUGGCUUUGGUCAGUAAACUUGCUCUCAUUCUCAGAUCUUCUCACACUUCUGAAAUUCAAACUUCCCCCUUUCUGGAUGAAGAGGCCAGCAAUUGUUGUUGUUGUUGGUGGUUGUGUUGGUGGUGUUUUUUAUCACUCCUGAACCUCACACCAGUAGCAGUCUGCUCCUGCUGAUCCCAGCCACUCCAGCUGCUGUCCCGCCUUGCAGCCUCCACUGCAACACUACUCUGGAUGUGAGGAGUUGGCUGGCCUUGAGGAACCUCAGAGAUGCUGGAGAAGGCGGCGAGGUUGCUUCAAAGCCACACUCAGUGACCAAUUGAGCAGGCAAGGCGAGGGAUGCACCAAGGAGUCCUGAAGUCAGCGGCAGCAGGGACGGAACAAGUACUGACCACAGCAACUGUCUCGAUGCCUCACUUCAACACUAACACCAGUGGUGGACAUUGGGACACAAAGUCAUGUGCUGAAAAAAAAAAAAAAAAAGAA